rnacentral:lncRNA from 1 species
GCUCAACUGUCAUGUACUGCACCCACCAUUAUAGCCACAAACGUGUCCCCACUUUUUCUUAAUUCUCUGCCUUAAUCCUAAUCCUCUGCCAUGUACUGCACCUCCGCCGGAUUCCCCACGCUGCCCCCUUACUUUGCCUAGUUUCCCCACUCCAUCUCUCUCAUCUCUCCACUGUUCUUUUUUUUUCUCUCCCUCACGCAUGCUCAUCCCUCUACUCCAGGCGCAAGAUCUCCGGCUGUAAAUAUUGAUUGGCCGGGCGACUCCUUGUCAUGCAGGGCUCUGAAAGGGCAUUUCGAUCCCUAAUGAGUUUUGGUGUUAAUGACAACAUGACAUGUAGAUUGACUGUGUGCUAAGUAUUUUCAGAAGUUAUAUAGAAUCAAGUGAAACGGUUUGUAGCCC